UUAAUAUAAAAAGAAAGAAAAUACUAAUCACAUAAGAUUUAACUAAUAUAAGGAAACACCUAAACUUUAAAAACCUUUCACUUUAUUUAGUCAUCUUUUUUUCUUUGCAUUGCAUUUUCAUAAUAUAUCUUAAGGGCAUCAUUCAUUAACCAAAUAAGAUAGAGAUUUGAUCACCCUUCUUUAAACCACAAAUCACUUUUGUGCAUCUACAUAAUCCAAACCUUUAAAUAAAAUUGAUGAAACACCAGCCCU
rnacentral:lncRNA from 1 species